rnacentral:lncRNA from 1 species
UUUUUCUUCAAGGUUUGCGCUUAAAGAGUCUGCAACAAGAAGCAGGGGAAGCGGGAGGUGGCAAGGAUGGGGCAUUAGACGAGCAACAGCUAAUUGGUCGUGUAUAAUUUCCUUUCCUUACCUAUUAUAAAUAGACUGUAUCCUAUUGAAGAAUCUUGUAGAAGAAUGCCACUUUGUUUUAUGGGAAAGCAAAGUUUAGACUGGAUUCUUUGCUGAAGUUUUAAGUUUCUGUCUUUUUCUUUUUAUGCAGGUAUCUAAAAGCUGUCCCUUUUAGGAGGACUGAAUAAAAUAGGAAAGAGUUACCCAGCAGUGAAGUGGCUGGAAGAAGUUGUAGUACAGGGUUAAUAGAAAGUUCCUAUGUUAAAUUACCUUGUCAUUCUUCGCCUUCAUAUACAACUACUAUAUUGAGAUUCCUUUCUUCUCUUUAACCAGUUCCUAAGCUGAAGCCUCGUCUUACAUAUUCCUGCAUUCCCUUACAAGUUUUCCUGACGGCCUUCUGCCUAUUUGUGCUUUAAAUUCAUUACUUUUGGUGUUUAUAAGCAACUAUGGUGUUCUAGCUGCCAUUUUACUCAAAGAUAAGUUUUCCUGACAGCCUUCUGCCUAUUUGUGCGUUAAAUUUAUUACUUUUGGUGUUUAUAAGCAACUAUGGUGUUCUAGCUGCCAUUUUACUCAAAGAAGAUGGCGUUUCGUUCCGAGGAAGCACAAACGGAGGAUUACCUUUUCAAGAUUGUUUUGAUUGGUGACUCGGCUGUUGGGAAGUCAAAUUUGCUUGC